GAAAAGGUAUAAUAGUGAAAAGUAAGAGCAGGAGACCUCAAGAUUGUAAAAACCUCGAAAAGGGCCGGGUACCGCUUUGGAGAAGACGGGAGCCUGGGAGGCCGUACAACGGAGCAGUUGGCUGUAGAAGGAAGCGAGUCUCGGCACAAUCAUGUGCAUGCAGGUUUUCUAUAAAUGAUCUCGUACCACAUGGCUGAGGCUGCACGUGACUAAAGCCUUAAAUCACUUCCCAGUUGGAUGACAGCAAUGUGCUCUAUGUGGGGCUACCUUUGAAGAGCAUUCAGAAGCAGCAACUAGUCCAGAAGCCCAAGUUUUGGGAUUGCCGAAGGCUUCAUGUACAAUUCAAGUGUUUCAUUUUAAUGAACAGCUGUGUCUGAGCCAGCAGUACAAUGUGACUUCCAGCAAAAUACAGAAAGUACCUUAUCGUUACAGGGUUACUUCCUGUGUGUUUUAUGCUUUCAAUUUCACAUUAUAGCACUAAAUUGAUGGAAUUAUGCAACUAUGGAAAAUCACCAUUUGGGAUCUUUUGUAAGCAGUCUCAUGACUAGCUGCAGCUCCUCUACUGUAAACAUCUUACUGCCUACUUUUAGCCCAGAUUUCUUAAAGGUCUAAGUAGAAACCUUUCUCAGAAUUUAUUGUUCAUUAAUUAUGACCCUGUUUUUUAAAAAGAUGUUACAAUUGAUAAUGUUGAACUAUUGUUUUCUUUCUUAUGUAAAAUUCAUCUGGAAUUCAUUCACAUGAACUCAGUUUGGUGCUUUGUAGUCUAGUAAUAAUGACCAUUAUUGAGACCAGAAUCACGGGCACUGAGUGAAGCAGUUAUUAAGUAAGAUUACAAACCUGGCACUCCAGGCUGUGGUCAUUAAGCAUCUCCCAGAUCAUUAAGUGGCCAGAAUAAAGGCCCUGCCCAUUAAAGAAUUUCAGUUCUGCACCUGAAAUCCUCCUGGCUGUUAGUGAGUACUGCCUGCCUGAGGGUUCCCAUGCAUGGAGGGGAAAUCCUUUAUGGAGCUGCUGGAAUGGGUGUGGGUUAGCUCUGUUCCUGCAGCCUGCCAAAGGAUUUCCCCUCCCCUCCAUGCACAGAAAGGAAAUCCUUGGUACAGGCUGCAGGAUUUACAUGCCCCUCUGAUCUGACAUGUUAAGUAUGGACCGUAAGUAUUUGGCUGCCUGCAAGGACUACUUGUAUUUGUACAUUCCACAAUUACCUUCUGCAUUUCAAUUAUGGAGACAUUUAGAACAAUAAAAAACAAAUUUAGUUCUUCCUAAGAGCCUACCACUUUGCAGCACAAUCUACCUACUCUUUAUGUGAAGCGGUAAAGGCCUUCUCUAUGUCCCAUCUAAAGAAGAAACACAACUAGUUGAAACCAAACUUAGAACUCUCCAUGUCUUCAUUUAUAUUUUUAAUAGAUUAUCCUACUAAAACAGGGCUUUUCAACCUUAUCACAGAUUGUACCACUUUUAGGACAUGACAAUAGUUGAGUACCACCAGUGCUUAGCAAGGUGUCAA